rnacentral:rRNA from 1 species
AAAGAAACUAACAAGGAUUCCCCUAGUAACGGCGAGUGAAGAGGGAAGAGCUCAAAUUUUGAAUCUGGCGUCUUUGGCGUCCGAAUUGUAAUCUAGAGAAGUGUUUUCCGUAAUGGACCGUGCACAAGUCUCCUGGAAUGGAGCGUCAUAGAGGGUGAGAAUCCCGUAUAUGGCACGGACUCCCGUUGCUCUGUGAUACACUCUCAACGAGUCGAGUUGUUUGGGAAUGCAGCUCCAAAUGGGUGGUAAAUGCCAUCUAAAGCUAAAUAUUGGCGAGAGACCGAUAGCGAACAAGUACCGUGAGGGAAAGAUGAAAAGCACUUUGGAAAGAGAGUGAAACAGUACGUGAAAUUGUUGAAAGGGAAACGCUUGAAGUCAGUCGCGCCGUUCGGGAUUCACCCUUGCUUCUGCUUGGUUUACUUCCCGUUGGGUGGGUCAACAUCAGUUUUGGUCGGAGGAGAAAGGCCCGUGGAAGGUAGCAGCUUUGCUGUGUUAUAGCCACUUGUUGUAUACUUCGACUGGGACUAAGGAUCGCAGCACGCCUUUGGCCGGGGCUUUGCCCACGUACGUGCUUAGGAUGUUGGCAUA